rfam:Triticum aestivum genome assembly, contig: Triticum_aestivum_CS42_TGACv1_scaffold_641070_T_2AS-0.210594_2AL-0.198985
CAGGUACUCCCUCCGUCCAGAAAUACUUGUCUGGAGAAUGGAUAUAUCUAGAUGUAUUUUAGUUCUAGAUACAUCCAUUUGUACCCAUUUCUACGACAAGUAUUUUCAGACAGAGGGAGUAUAAC